CGCGAAGAACCUUACCCAGACUUGACAUCUCCUGCAUUACCCUUAAUCGGGGAAGUUCCUUCGGGAACAGGAAGACAGGUGGUGCAUGGUUGUCGUCAGCUCGUGUCGUGAGAUGUUGGGUUAAGUCCCGCAACGAGCGCAACCCUUAUUGUUAGUUGCUACCAUUUAGUUGAGCACUCUAGCGAGACUGCCCGGGUUAACCGGGAGGAAGGUGGGGAUGACGUCAAAUCAUCAUGCCCCUUAUGUCUAGGGCUACACACGUGCUACAAUGGCAAGUACAAAGAGAAGCAAGACCGCGAGGUGGAGCAAAACUCAAAAACUUGUCUCAGUUCGGAUUGUAGGCUGAAACUCGCCUACAUGAAGCUGGAGUUGCUAGUAAUCGCGAAUCAGCAUGUCGCGGUGAAUACGUUCCCGGGUCUUGUACACACC
rnacentral:rRNA from 1 species